CAGGGGGCCCAAAACUGAUCCCCGCGGGAUUCCAGACUGAACUUCUCAUGAGACAGAUUUUGCGUCACCAGCAACGACUGCCUGUCGCCUUCCCGUAAGUUUCCCUCUAUGGUCCUUCGAUGAAAACAUGUCCAGUUCUCAGCGCGUCGUGAGCUGUGAGCGACGCCACCGUUAGCACACAGGUUCUCACGAGCGGCCGUUCUGAAAGGAGAGGCCGGCCCCAGGAAGUGUCGCCAGGCCACGUCCUGCGAGAGAGACGAUCACAGCGACAGCGGUGCGCGCUUUCGCCGCUGUUGUCGCGCCGACCUCUUGGUGUCUCCGACAAGGGACGUCUCCUAUUUCCGGCAACGCUCAACUCGUAUUCGGAACGAUUCACGACCACGCAGGAAACGAGGGGGACCUGGAAAGGGGCAUUCCAUGCUAUGUGUCACGUUUGUUUUGCUCAGGAGUGGAGACACCACGAGCGUCCCUUACGCGCAGUGUUAGUGCAUCCUCACCGUUAUCACAUCGCUGCCCGCGAGUGCCGAUGGACUGAAACGUCAGGAUCCCUAUAACGUCAAGGUGCACUCUGAACUGGGUAACCCAGGUGCACAUUUUCACAACUUUACGCUACUGCUGCUGUGUGAUGUUAAAUAAAGCUAACAAUCGCGUGGACUUUGA